GUUUUAAUAAUUUAAAUAAUAAAAUAUUGGUCUUGUAAACCAAAAAUAAGAAUACCUUUUAAAACU
rnacentral:tRNA from 2 species